rnacentral:rRNA from 1 species
AUUGAACGCUGGCGGCAGGCCUAACACAUGCAAGUCGCGCGAGAGGCGGACGGGUUAGUCAUUUAUGGUGACUUCCCGAUAUAGGGGGAUAACUAUUUGAAACGGUAGCUAAUACCGCAUACUAUAGGAUAACCCAUAGGGGAUUAGCUAGUAGGUGAGGUACUGGCUCAACUAGGCGACGAUCCCUAGCUGGUCUGAGAGGAUGAUCAGCCAAACUGGGACGAGGACACGGCCCAGACUCCUACGGAGGCAGCAGUGGGGAAUAUUGCACAAUGGGCGCAAGCCUGAUGCAGCCAUGCCGCGUGUAUGAAGAAGGCCCUAGGGUUGUAAAGUACUUUCAGUCGGGAGGCGUUACCGACAGAAGAAGCACCGGCUAACUCCGUGCCAGCAGCCGCGGUAAUUC